UGUAUUUUGAUAAGUUUUGCAACUUAUCUUUAUCACCCAUCAUAUGGCUCGAGCAACCUGAGUCAAUGAUCCAGUCAUUUUCAUAAUCGAUUUUACUAGAUAUUAUUAUUGUAAGGGCUAACUCCUCCUCUUCAGCAGCAAAGGAUGCCUCCGUAUCCCAUUCUUCUUCACUGUUGGAGGUAACGACAUUACCUUCCAUAGAUUUUUCCUUCGACCGAUAGGUCUUUUCCAUGUGUCCCUUUUUCCCAUAUUUGUAACACUUCCCUUUAAAUCUUUUCUUGUUUUCAUAUUUCUUCGAGCCUCCCCCUUCACUAGUUCUUCAUUCACCUUGAUGAUCCUUUGAUUCGUUAUCAUUUUUCUUGGAUCCAUCAUUCUUUUGCUGUUUGAAAUUCCACUUGUUUUUAUUGGCAUAGAGUUCCUCUUCUUUAUUCUUUAGUGAGAGUCCUCCCAUUUGUUUAGCUAAUGCUCCUUGACCAGCUAACAAAUUCUCAAAAUCUACAAAUGAUGGUUGAUUUUGCCAUCCCUGUACUGCAGUGACAAAGCUUCUGUAUUUUAACUUUAGACUGUGGAUGAUAAUUCAUUUUAUCCUAUAGUCUCAU
rnacentral:lncRNA from 1 species